UACGGAGGAUGCAAGCGUUAUCCGGAAUGAUUGGGCGUAAAGCGUCCGCAGGUGGCUAUGUAAGUCUGCUGUUAAAGAGUGAGGCUCAACCUCAUAAGAGCAGUGGAAACUACAUGGCUAGAGUGCGUUCGGGGCAGAGGGAAUUCCUGGUGUAGCGGUGAAAUGCGUAGAGAUCAGGAAGAACACCAAUGGCGAAAGCAGCUCUCUGGGACGGUACUGACGCUGAGACGCGAAAGCGUGGGGAGCGAACAGG
rnacentral:rRNA from 1 species